rnacentral:sRNA from 1 species
UUCUAUAGUAACCGACUAGUCCUAGGAA